rnacentral:rRNA from 1 species
AUUGAACGCUGGCGGCAGGCCUAACACAUGCAAGUCGAACGAGUGGCGGACGGGUGAGUAAUGUCUGGGAAACUGCCUGAUGGAGGGGGAUAACUACUGGAAACGGUAGCUAAUACCGCAUACCAUCAGAUGUGCCCAGAUGGGAUUAGCUAGUUGGUGGGGUAACGGCUCACCAAGGGGACGAUCCCUAGCGGGUCUGAGAGGAUGACCAGCCACACUGAAACAGCGCAACGGUCCAGACCCCUACUGUGGGCAGCAGUGGGGAAGUUUGCACAAUGGGCGCAAGCCUGAUGCAGCCAUGCCGCGUGUAUGAAGAGGGCCUUCGGGUUGUAAAGUACUUUCAGCGGGGAGGCGUUACCCGCAGAAGAAGCACCGGCUAACUCCGUGCCAGCCGCCGCGGAAUAC